GAAGAAACAAAGUGGCCCUGCUUCAGCUGAAAUUAAAUCAUCCAAGGAUGCAGAAGAUUUUAUAGAUGUCAAUAAGAUCAUUAUUGUUGGGGUCUUUCCCGAGUUCUCCGGCGAGAAAUUUGAGAAUUUUACAGCUGUGGCUGAGAGAUUACGUGCUGAUUAUGAUUUUGGUCAUACUUUGGAUGCUAAACUCCUUCCUCGUGGGGAUUCAUCAGUUUCUGGCCCUGUGGUUAGGUUAUUCAAGCCUUUUGAUGAACUUUUUGUAGAUUUUCAGGUGUUCGAUGUGGAUGCUUUGGCAAAGUUAGUCGAAGAAGCAACUAUUCCUACUGUGACUGUAUUUAACAAGGACCCAAACAACCAUCCAUUUGUUGUUAAAUUCUUCAACAGUCCAAAUGCCAAGGCCAUGUUGUUCGUGAACUUCAACAUAUUUGAUAGUUUCAAAUCCAAGUAUCAUGAAGUUGCUGAGCAGUACAAAGGCAAUGAUAUUAGUUUCUUAAUUGGUGAUGUUGAGGCCAGUCAAGGUGCCUUCCAGUACUUUGGACUCAAAGAGGAUCAGACACCUCUAAUCAUCAUACAGACAAAUGAAGGAGAGAAAUAUCUCAAAACAAAUGUUGAGCCUGAUCACAUUGCAUCAUGGGUUAAGGAGUUCAAGGAUGGCAAGGUGAAACCUUACAAAAAAUCAGAACCUAUCCCAGAGGUCAACAACGAACCUGUUAAAGUUGUGGUUGCUGACAAUUUCCAGGAUAUGGUUUUCAACUCUGGGAAGAAUGUACUCAUCGAGUUCUAUGCCCCUUGGUGUGGACACUGUAAGCAGUUGGCCCCAAUCCUUGAUGAAGUGGCUGUCUCAUUUGAAAGUGAUGCAGAUGUUAUGAUUGCCAAAAUUGAUGCUACUGCUAAUGAUUAUUCACAGGGAACUUUUGAGGUCAAAGGUUAUCCUACUCUUUAUUUCAAGUCAGCAAGUGGAAAGCUUUUGCAGCAUCAAGGUGGGAGGACCAAGGAAGACAUUAUUGACUUUAUCCAGAAGAAUCGGGAUAAAGCUGCAGAGCAAAGUCCGGGAAAAGAUGAGCUAUAAUUAAAGGAAGAAAAUGUCUAAUGCAGUUGGCGUUGGCUGCCUUACUGAUUUACAAGCUCCAGGCAAGUGAGAAGAAAGAAACAAGAGCACAACAUCUCCAGCUUUGCACCUCCGCCAUAACCCGAAUAUAACCCUUCUUACCCUAGUCUGUAAUCAAAUAUUUUCUCAUGAGCAGGAUUUUCCGAGGAUUUAGAUAUCGUAGCAACUCUCAAUGGUUUGAUUAGUUGCACCUUUGUAUGUUGAAUGGUUUUCUAAAGAAACUUUUCACUUUUUAAGUUAUUUACGAC
rnacentral:misc_RNA from 1 species